UGAGUACGAGAUGCUACGGCAUCGAAGCAGUCUAUGUCAUACUUCCAAGAAAAGCUUGCACUGUCAUAAACAAAGAAUGCCUGUACCAUAACCGACACAGGUGGGUAGGUAGAGUAUACUAAGGGGCGCGAGAUAACUCUCUCUAAGGAACUCGGCAAAAUGACUCCGUAACUUCGGGAGAAGGAGUGCCUUAUUUCUAAGGUUGCAAUAACAAGAUCCAAGCAACUGUUUACCAAAAACACAGGUCUCCGCUAAGUCGUAAGACGAUGUAUGGGGGCUGACGCCUGCCCAGUGCCAGAAGGUUAAAGAAGUUGGUUAGCAUUAGCGAAGCUGAUAACUGAAGCCCUGGUGAACGUCGGCCGUAACUAUAACGGUCCUAAGGUAGCGAAAUUCCUUGUCGGGUAAGUUCCGACCCGCACGAAAGGCGUAAUGAUUUGGAUACUGUCUCGGAGAGGGGCUCGGUGAAAUAGACUUGUCUGUGAAGAUGCGGACUACCUGCACCUGGACAGAAAGACCCUAUGAAGCUUUACUGUAACUUGAGAUUGAAAUUGGACUUUAUUUGCGCAGUAUAGGUGGGAGGCGUUGAGAAUAAUCUUGCGGGAUUGUUGGAGCCAUCAGUGAGAUACCACUCUUGUAAUGUUAGAUUUCUAACUUUGUAUCAUUAUCUGGUCAAAGAACAGUUUCAGGCGGGCAGUUUGACUGGGGCGGUCGCCUCCCAAAGGGUAACGGAGGCGCACAAAGGUUUCCUCUGAACGGGUAGAAAUCGUAUCUAGAGUGUAAAGGCAUAAGGAAGCUUGACUGUGAGACCUACAAGUCGAGCAGGGACGAAAGUCGGUCUUAGUGAUCUGACGGUGCUGAGUGGAAAGGCCGUCACUCAACGGAUAAAAGUUACUCUAAGGAUAACAGGCUGAUCUCCCCCAAGAGUUCACAUCGACGGGGAGGUUUGGCACCUCGAUGUCGGCUCAUCGCAUCCUGGGGCGGUAGUCCGUCCCAAGGGUUGGGCUGUUCGCCCAUGAAAGCGGUACGCGAGCUGGGUUCAGAACGUCGUGAGGCAGUUCGGUCCAUAUCCGGUGUAGGCGUUAGAAUAUUGAGAGGAGCCUUCUCUAGUACGAGAGGACCGAGAAGGACAUACCUCUGGUGUACCAGUUAUCGUGCCAACGGUAAACGCUGGGUAGCUAUGUAUGGAGUGGAUAACCGCUGAAAGCAUCUAAGUGGGAAGCCCACCUCAAGAUAAGUAUUCUC
rnacentral:rRNA from 1 species